rnacentral:rRNA from 1 species
GACGAACCGUGCAAACGUUGUUCGGAAUCACUGGGCUUAAAGGGCGCGUAGGCGGGCGAUCAAGUCUGGGGUGAAAUCUUUCGGCUUAACCGGAAAAGAGCCUCGGAUACUGGUCGUCUCGAGGGAGGUAGGGGCAUGCGGAACUUCCGGUGGAGCGGUGAAAUGCGUAGAUAUCGGAAGGAACGCCGGUGGCGAAAGCGGCGUGCUGGACCUCUUCUGACGCUGAGGCGCGAAAGCCAGGGGAGCAAACGGG